AGACGUCUACAUUAGAUACCCCGGUAGUCCCAGCCGUAAACUAUGCGUGUUAGGUGUAUCGGUGACCACGAGUCACCGAGGUGCCGAAGGGAAACCGUGAAACGUGCCGCCUGGGAAGUACGGUCGCAAGGCUGAAACUUAAAGGAAUUGGCGGGGAGCACCACAACGGGUGGAGCCUGCGGUUUAAUUGGACUCAACGCCGGGAAGCUCACCGGAUAAGACAGCGGAAUGAUUGCCGGGCUGAAGACUCUGCAUGACUAGCUG
rnacentral:rRNA from 1 species